rnacentral:lncRNA from 1 species
UUUUUUUGAGAUGGAGUUUCACUCUUGUCACCUAGGCUGGAGUGCAGUGGCAAGUGGCGAGAUUUCAGCUCACUGCAACCUCUGCCUCCCGGGUGCAAGGGAUUCUCCUGCCUCAGCCUUCUGAGUAGCUGGGAUUACAGGCACUUGCCACCAUGCCCAGCUAAUUUUUGUAUUUUUAGCACGAGGUCAGGAGAUCAAGACCAUCCUGGCUAACACGAUGAAACCCCAUCUCUACUAAAAAUACAAAAAUUAGCUGGGCGUGGUGGCAGGCGCCUGUAGCUUCACUGUCCUACAUCCGGAAUACACUCCUCUGCCAAACAGUAAGACCCCAAAAGUGCUUUUUUGAAACAUGAAGAAUCUAUGCUAUCAGAAGUAUAUUUAUCCUAUAUAAUUUAUGGCAAACGUAUUUAAAAAUGUGGCCACACGUUGCUAUCAAUGUUUGAUGUGCAACAGAAGGAGCUUUUUAUGUAGAAUCAGAAAAAUAAGUUCCAAUCUUAGCUCUGCAAAGUACUAUCUAUAUAACUUUGGGCAAAUCAUUUAAUCUCCUUAAGCAUGCAGAAGAAUGCUUAGUGUAGGGUGUCACUAAACACAUACCAAAUAAACACAUAGCAGA